UGCAUUAUUAAUGUCAUUUAUAUACUUCUGGUGAAAGAUAUACGAUAUCAAAAAUAAAGCAAGACCGGACUGAAAAAAAAGGAGGAGGAGAAGGAGGGGAGGAGAGGGAAGGAAGAAUGGAAGGAGAGAGAUAAAGAAAGAAAGGAAGAAAGAAGAAAGAAAGAAAGAAUCUUUUAAAAAUUGAAAA
rnacentral:lncRNA from 1 species